rnacentral:rRNA from 1 species
GGCGGCGGUGCCUAACACAUGCAAGUCGAACGGAUGAAGGGAGCAAUCCCCGAUUCGAGUGGCGGACGGGUUAGUAACGCGUGAGGAACCUGCCUUCAGAGGGGGAUAGCAGUUGGAAACGACUGAUAAUACCGCAUAAGACCACAGCGCCGCAUGACGCAGGGGUCAAAGGAGCAAUCCGCUGAAAGAUGGACUCGCGUCCGAUUAGAUAGUUGGUGAGGUAACGGCCCACCAAGUCGACGAUCGGUAGCCGGGCUGAGAGGCUGGACGGCAACAUUGGGACUGAGACACGGCCCAGACUCCUACGGGAGGCAGCAGUGAGGGAUAUUGCACAAUGGACGAAAGUCUGAAUGCAGCAACGCCGCGUGAGGGACGACGGUUUUCGGAUUGUAAACCUCUGUCCUUGGUGAAGAUAAUGACGGUAGCCAAGGAGGAAGCAACGGCUAAUUACGUGCCAGCAGCCGC